ACCGCAAUAGCUCCGUUGGUAGAGCAUCUGUAUGGUGAGCGGAGUAUCGCCGGUUCGAUUCCGGCUCGCGGCU
rnacentral:tRNA from 1 species